UACGUAGGGGGGCAAGCGUUUGUCCGGAUUUAUUGGGCGUAAAGAGCGUGUAGGCGGCUUUACAGGUCCGUUGUGAAAACUCGAGGCUCAACCUCGAGACGCCGGUGGAAACCGUAAGGCUAGAGUCCGGAAGAGGAGAGUGGAAUUCCUGGUGUAGCGGUGAAAUGCGCAGAUAUCAGGAGGAACACCAAUUGCGAAGGCAGCUCGCUGGGACGUUACUGACGCUGAGACGCGAAAGCGUGGGGAGCAAACAGG
rnacentral:rRNA from 1 species